CACAAAGAUCUGUACAAGAACGUUAUGAUGGAGGAUCACCAGCCCCUCACAUUAACAGUUAAAGAAGAGAGAACAACGCCGGAGAGAUGUCCUAGUCCUCUUCUUCCACAGGAUGAUUCAGAAGAACAUCAAAAUGUCCAAUAUGAUCAUCAGGUAGAUGAAGAUAAGCUUUUAAAUCUGGGUAAAGAUCUGACCAAUAUGAAGGCUGAA